rnacentral:rRNA from 1 species
GACGAACGCUGGCGGCGUGCUUAACACAUGCAAGUCGAGCGGUAAGGCCCUUUCGGGGAUACACGAGCGGCGAACGGGUGAGUAACACGUGAGCAACCUGCCCUUCUCUUUGGAAUAAGCGUUGGAAACGACGUCUAAUGCCGAAUAUGACCCCCUGUCGCAUGGUGGGGGGUGGAAAGCUCUGGCGGAGAAGGAUGGGCUCGCGGCCUAUCAGCUUGUUGGUGUGGGUAAUGGCCCACCAAGGCGACGACGGGUAGCCGGCCUGAGAGGGUGACCGGCCACACUGGGACUGAGACACGGCCCAGACUCCUACGGGAGGCAGCAGUGGGGAAUAUUGGACAAUGGGCGAAAGCCUGACCCAGCAACGCCGCGUGAGGGAUGACGGCCUUCGGGUUGUAAACCUCUUUCAGCAGGGACGAAGCGAGAGUGACGGUACCUGCAGAAGAAGGACCGGCCAACUACGUGCCAGCCGCCGCAGUAAGAC